AUAACGACUCUCGGCAACGGAUAUCUCGGCUCUCGCAUCGAUGAAGAACGUAGCGAAAUGCGAUACUUGGUGUGAAUUGCAGAAUCCCGUGAACCAUCGAGUCUUUGAACGCAAGUUGCGCCCCAAGCCUUUAAUUAGGUCGAGGGCACGUCUGCCUGGGUGUCACG
rnacentral:rRNA from 1 species